rnacentral:lncRNA from 1 species
CCAGGUGUCAGGGACGAUGGGGGUCCGAUACCACGGGGACGCUGCGGAUGCCCAGGGCCGGGCACGCGGGACCUGAGGGACCGGGAGCCCCGGAGGGUGGACUUUGCGGGGACUGUUUGGCGGGCCGGUAAUCGCGGAGCGACGCGCGCCAGGGCGGUGGGCACCGGUUGAGUGGGGACCUGAGCGGAGAGCGGGGGGGUAGGAAGGCUUUCAGAGGCCUGAGUUGCCUUGAGGGGUUUGCACGGAGGGGUGAGCACAGGAUUUGGUUCAGCCUGGCGCUCCCCAUUCCGCGGUGAGUCGGGGUGGAAGUCCCUCGCCGGGGUGAGAGCUAGGCUCUGGGGUCAGGCCGAGAGGUGCUCGGAUCCGCCCGCCACCGCCGCUCCUGUGACCUUGGCCAGCCUCCUGGGCGCCGGCUUCACAGCGGCAUGGUGUGGAUGUGUGCGUUUCUGUCUUUACACGCGUGUUCUCCGUGCUAGCAUCCAUCCUUCUCCCCGCUGUCUGCCCCCUGAGAUCAAGGACUUGUCACUUCUCUGGUGGGUCCCCAGCCUCUAGGAUCGGGGCAGGUGCGUCGCAGCUCUCUCCUAGUUGUUGAAAAAGUAAUGAACUUACCUGUGCUCUCUGAAGCUCACAGUCUAUGCUCCAGAGGUGGAUUUAAAAGUAAAGCAAAUCGGAGGAUUAGGUAGGGGUUAAAAGCCCCUGCCUAGGGCACGGCAGGAGCACCGGGUGGGAAAGUUACUGGUGUGUUUGGGGUAUGGGGAGAACUUCAGUGUGGCUGGACCUGGGGAAGGAUGGGAGGGAGGGUAGUGAUGGUAGAGGAGAGGAGGCUGUACUGAAGUCACCUGUGAUUUUUUUCCCCCAGUGAUAAGGACAGUUAACAUUUCGGUGUAUUUCCCACCAAGUGGUGUGACCAGAUUGCUUUGGAUUCUUAAGGAGGUGGCCUGGAAGCUGUAUGAAGGUGGGAAGAGGAAGAGGGCCCUUCCACCCACAGUGGCAGGGAAAGCUGUUGGAGGUUUCAUUGCAGGGAAAAGACAGCGAGUCCAGUGACAUGGGAGGGAGGGCAGAUCCAGGUGACAUUGCUCUGGGUGCCUGAGCUGACGCAGGUGGGUUGGCAGGGCUGACUGUGGCAUUGUUCAUGACUGAACUCCGGGAGCAGAAACUGCACCUGCACAUUGUAGGCACUAAGGAAAUAGGUGUUGACUGAAUCUUCCAGGCCAUAUUUACAUUACUUCAGAGGCCAUACUCCUUAAGUGACAUAGUCCUCCUUGGGGGAAACCUUGAGCCGUGGCCACUUGCACUGCCUUGGUCUUGCUGGUGGCUGCUCACUGUUUCCCAGCCCCUGGGGCACUGUGGGGACUGUGCGUCUUUGCCGAGGCUGGUCCCCAUGAGUUCACUCAUUCCUGCACCCACACCUGCUGCCUGCCAGCUGCUGAGCUGGAGGCUGGGGCAUAGCUGUCCGAGAGGCAGACACGGCUGCUGCCUCUCAGGGCUGACUUGAGAUGCCUGGAGCUCCUUAACUAAAGCCAUAUCCAAGUUCCAACGUCUCCUUUCUAAAAGAAGUCUCCCUUUGCUCCCUGUCCUUCAUUGGAACUUUGAGCCACUUUUUGCUAACACCUAAAUCCUCCAUCCUGAUGUGUUGAGGCCAGGAGGGCAGGCGCUGACCCCAUCUUCCUCAUCUUUAAGCCUUCACCAGGGACUGGCUGUGCCAGUUGCUUAGUGGAGUGCAGUGGUUGAACUUGUGGAACAGAGUUCAGUUCCCAACCCUCCUCCCCACUUUCCCUGUUGGAUUGUUGUCCAGAGACAGGAGAUUCACUGCCGUGGGGACUGGCCAGAGGUGUGUCUGAACAGCUCCCGCUGGUAGACAGUGUUCUCGGACACUGUGGUGAAUUCAGCUUCCUGCCCCUCCCCCAUCAUCUGUCCACUUCCAGAAAAGAGCCGCCUUUCAGAAAUCAUCAGAAACAACAUUGCUGGGUCCUCCCAUGACCCCAUGACAUAACAACUUCCUGGCUACAGUCCUCUUCCCCUGGCGAUGUGCUCUCAGAGUGGACCGGUUCUCACUUCAGAGUCAGUUUCCGCCUCUAAAUGGAAAUACGGGUGCCCACUGUCUUAGUUCCUUUGUGCUGCUGUAACAGAACGCCUUAGACAGGGUCAUUUAUAAAACCACGGAAAUGUAUUGUUCACAGCUGUGGAGGCUGGGAAGUCCAGCAUCAAGCCUCCAGCAGAAUCAGUGUCUGGUUGAGGCCCAUUCCUCACAGAUGGUGCCUUCUGUGUGUCAUCUCAUGGUGGAAGACGGGCUCCCUCCAGGCUUUUGUGUAAGGGCACUCAUCGCGUUCAUGAGGUCUCUGCUUCAGGACCUGGUCACCUGCAGGCCCCACCUUGCAUUGAGGGUUAGGUUUUGACAUAUGAAUGGGGGGGCCACCGCCAUCCAGACCAUGGCCUCUACCUUGUCAGGGUAGGGACAGUAUUCUAGGCAAGAGCCCUUCCAGGGCUUCACACACAGGCAAUCGAUCAAUCAUCCUUACAGCUCCUGUCCUCAAAGGCCCAGGUCUGGAAUGAAUGGUGAACAGCAGUUCCUGUCUGGGCAGAGGGGAGCUAGACAGAGGUAUCAGGCAGCUUGGUGGGUCUUCUCCGUGCUUGGGGUGCCUCCUGGAGGAAGAUAAAGACCUGCAAGACUCCAUCAUGCUGAUCCAUGGGUUCACCGAAAAAUUGUGGCUUUUCCUCCACCCUUGACCGUCGGCCCUCCCUGCGUGGAAGUGCAUGAGCCUGUUUCCACUGAGAAGACUGGCCUCUGCCACCAGCACUACUGACCCCUCCCAUCUAGCCCUUUUCCUAUUCCAGAUGGUGACACUACCCACCAGGGCUUACUUCAGAGCAGGAAAUUGAGAAACUAUAUCACAGAUCUGAUGUCCAGGGCCAGAGAAUUAACAUGUUCAUCUCCAAGCCUGGUACCAAGUCCCUUCACAAAAAUACAGAUGCCACCUUCAGGAAGCCUCCACGAGAAAGUGGAGGCAGCCAGGGAAGCCUUGGCAAGGGAAACCACACAGCGGCGCCGUCCCCAGCGCAAGUUUGCCUUGGUUCAGGAGCUCAGUGGGCAAGCCCUGGGGGCUGGCUGGGAAAGGAAGUUGAUGAGCAGCUACGGAGGGGCGUCCAGUCUGCAUGAGGACUCAGAGCUUCUCAGGCAGAGAGCCAUCUGAGCCAUCAUGUGGGCCAUAACGUGACUCACUCUGGGUCCAUUGAGAGCAUCAUCCGCGUGGGCCUACCUCAAACCUCUUUCACCAGCACUCCAGCCUUGCUCUUCCAGUUCCCAGAGGAUGGAAAGCCCUGCUUUGGAUUACAGCUGGAGCAGGGCAGGAGAACUGCAGCCCCCCCCCAGGAAUGCUGAAGGACCCGUAGAGGAGAGCCAUCUCUCACGCAUGGAACUUGGAGCCAGCACUCUGCCCAGAAGUGGGGCUGGCUGAGGUCAGGGUCUAUGUGUUGCUCAGGAGGUGAAUGGUGUCUCCUUUGUCCUGCUGGACGUUUUCAGGUGCAUCUUUCAGUAGCUCAAUCACAGCACUUCCAAAAUAAAUCAGUGGAUGAUGCCUGCCCCAAUAAAUGCCUCUUCCUUCCCAGGACACCAUCACUUCCAGUAACUUUUUCAUGUUUUUUGGAGUAAAAACCUUGGAACCAUUUUGAAAUCCUUUCUCCUUUCUCUACUAAAUCUGAUCAAAUACCCAGCUGGUCUUUUCCUUCAUCUCUAUCUGAUCAUUUUGAUCCUCCUUUGGCAUGUUUGCUGAUACCACCAAGCUCUGCAGCUGGUCCCCCUUAUCCCUCAUCUGUGGAUUACUAGCAUAAGUCACCUUCUGGACUUGGUGUCUCCAGGGUAGGGUGUCUGAGACAAUCUAUGGGGUAGGGGAAGCAAAUAUAGAAUUUCUGUUAUAUAUAUCUUCAACUAAAAAUUAGAAAUCCAAUGUUACUAAUUUUUGGUCUAUAAGCUUAUUUCAAGCGGUCACUCACUCAAAGCAUUUCAGGGGCUGGCAGUGGCGUGCUCUCUCAUUACAUCAUUUUCUGCAUAUUUUGAUAUAUUUCGGUGGACCAGGUUAAAAGGAUUUAUGGAUUGCCUAACCUAGUUUUAACUAAAACUCAAAGAGU